ACGACGCUGUUCCGAUCUAUUUUGUUCAACUACACACUUUGUGUCCGUUACCCUAUACCAAAUACCUAUAUCAUACAGCUGAUUAUAACGCUAUUACGUCCGAAUUAAAAUCGAUUAAUUGGCAAAACGAAUUGUUUAGUAGAACCUUAGAAAACGCGGUAACAUUCUUUUAUGAUAUAUUAAAUGAACUUCGCAACAAAUACAUUCCAUCAAAAACAAUAUUUCCUUCGAAUAAAUAUCCACCUUGGUAUAAUAAACCUCUUAUAAAAGUAAUAAAAGAAAAAUACAAAUAUC